UCUGCAAGUUCGCCGAUGACAUCCUCAUAAAAAAGAACAAUGUGUUACUACCAUGGGAGGCUCCCUGCUGGAUGUCGGCGCCGGAGGGGUAUCCCCGCAGCCAUAGACUUCUCUUCUCUCCUGCAAUGCAAGGUAUGGUACUCACACCAGUUCAAGUA